AUCCUGGGUUGGCCCAGCCACACCUUGCGCCGCCGCCGUUUCUGCUGGACACCAGGAGAAAACCACGGCAGCUGCAGCCACCAACUUCCCCUACAUAGCCCCACGGGAUCGGAUCCCACUCCCCACUCACCGCCAGACCGGAAGCAGGAAGGCGGAAGUCGCGGCCUUUGCGUCCCGCCCACAGGCGACCCGAGCCGCCAGCCGGGCGUGACUUCUCCAUCAUCUUCCUCCACCUGAUUCGUAGAGACCUCUGGACAUCUGAGCCUAAGCAGGGCCACUAAAUGAGAGAGAAUCCCAUCACUGAAAAGCAACAAUGAAUAUAUUAAGGACCACAGGAGAGAUAGAAGAAAUAUUGCAACUGAAGCUGCUAGAUGGUUAUGAUUAUCUGAAUAGGUGUGAUCUUGACUUUAGCGAAUUAACAGUCAUGUAGGUGAAAUUAUCUUGGACUCUCCAGACAAGACCAGCCACCAGCUGAAUACCAGUGGGUGACCCCAGUCAAUCACAUGGAACAGAAGAAUCACUCAGCUGAGCCCUGCCAGAAUUCUUGAUCCACAAAAUCCUGAAGUGCAAUUAAAUGAUGGUUGUUUUAA